rnacentral:rRNA from 1 species
UACGUAGGGUGCAAGCGUUGUCCGGAAUUAUUGGGCGUAAAGAGCUUGUAGGCGGUUUGUCGCGUCUGCUGUGAAAUUUCGGGGCUCAACCCCGAACUUGCAGUGGGUACGGGCAGACUAGAGUGUGGUAGGGGAGACUGGAAUUCCUGGUGUAGCGGUGAAAUGCGCAGAUAUCAGGAGGAACACCGGUGGCGAAGGCGGGUCUCUGGGCCAUAACUGACGCUGAGAAGCGAAAGCAUGGGGAGCGAACAGG